rnacentral:rRNA from 1 species
UACGGAGGAGGCAAGCGUUAUCCGGAAUUAUUGGGCGUAAAGCGUCCGCAGGUGGCACUUCAAGUCUGCCGUCAAAGACCGGGGCUUAACCCCAGAAAGGCGGUGGAAACUGAAGCGCUAGAGUGCGGUAGGGGUAGAGGGAAUUCCCGGUGUAGCGGUGAAAUGCGUAGAGAUGUGGAGGAACACCGAUGGCGAAGGCAGCCCCCUGGGCUAACACUGACGCUCAUGCACGAAAGCGUGGGGAGCAAACAGG